CCAUGUAAGUUUUUCUUAUCGAUUCGACCGCAAUUAGUUAAUAACACUUGAAUUUUUUCCCAAAGUAUAAAUACCGAGAAUCAAUACAUUGUAGUUAUCAGUUUUUCUUGUCUAAAGUUGUCUCAACAGCAAAUUAAUCUGCAACUAUGUUUGCUUCCAAAGUUUUUACUAUUUUGUUCUCGUUGGCGGUGAUUGUUUUGGCCGUAAACGGCAAGGACUCAGGUGUGUGCAAGGAUAUUUGCCCUAAACCACUGCCUUCGCAAACCGUGCUGUUGGCAUCUCCCGAACGUUGUGAAGAUUAUUGCGCUUGCACUCCUCGUGGUGCUGAGCUCCUGACCUGUCCCGUGUGGGAUCAAGAAACAGGUGAACGCCUAUAUUUCAACCCCAAAAUGAAGGUGUGUGACUGGCCCGAAAACUCUGGCUGCGUCAACUAAGAACAAAGAACUACAAAAACAUUGUAAAGGAUAAGAAAAAUAAAGAAACAUUUAUUCUAA